UACAGAGGGUGCGAGCGUUGUCCGGAAUCACUGGGCGUAAAGGGCGCGUAGGUGGUGACCUAAGCGUGCGGUGAAAGCCCGAGGCUCAACCUCGGGUCGGCCGUGCGAACUGGGUCACUGGAGCAGAAUAGAGGCAGGUGGAAUUCCGGGUGUAGCGGUGGAAUGCGUAGAGAUCCGGAGGAAGACCGGUGGCGAAGGCGGCCUGCUGGGCAGAUACUGACACUGAGGCGCGACAGCGUGGGGAGCAAACAGG
rnacentral:rRNA from 1 species